rnacentral:misc_RNA from 1 species
UGUAGGAGUGAGCCUGCUCGCGAUGGCGUCGUGUCUUUGAAAUUGAUUUGCCUGACACGACGCCAUCGCGAGCAGGCUCACUCCUACA